GACGAACGCUGGCGGCGUGCUUAACACAUGCAAGUCGAACGGAAAGGCCCUGCUUUUGUGGGGUGCUCGAGUGGCGAACGGGUGAGUAACACGUGAGUAACCUGCCCUUGACUUUGGGAUAACUUCAGGAAACUGGGGCUAAUACCGGAUAGGAGCUCCUGCUGCAUGGUGGGGGUUGGAAAGUUUCGGCGGUUGGGGAUGGACUCGCGGCUUAUCAGCUUGUUGGUGGGGUAGUGGCUUACCAAGGCUUUGACGGGUAGCCGGCCUGAGAGGGUGACCGGCCACAGUGGGACUGGGAUACGGCCCAUACUCCUACGGGGGGCAGCAGUGGGGAAUAGUGCACAAUGGGCGGAAGCCGGAUGCAGCAACGCCGCGUGCGGGAUGACGGCCUUCGGGUUAUAAACCGCGUUCGCCUGUGACGAAGCGUGAGUGACGGUAAUGGGUAAAGAAGCACCGGCUAACUACGUG
rnacentral:rRNA from 1 species